AUGAAGGAUGAGGGGAUGGAGGAUGAGGGGAUGGAGGAUGAGGGGAUGGAAGAUGAGGGGACCGGGGAUGGAGGAUGCGGGGAGCAGGGAUUUGGGUACCAGGGCUGCGAGUACCAGGGCUGGAGGAUGCGGGUGCCACGGAUGCGGGUACCACGGAUGCUGGUAGCAGGGAUGCGGGUACCAUGGCUGGAGGAUGCGGGUACCGGCUUGGGAGGAUGCAAUCACGUCUCUCCCCACCCUGCUCGCACCCCCCAGGCUGACGGGGUGCUCCCCCCCCCCCCCCCCCCCGCCACUCCGCCUCCACCUUCGCUGCCUUUCUCCACCUCCCGAGGGAAGGGUGGGGGGCAUUUGGGGGCAAAGGGGGUGCCCCCGCAUUCCACAGACGAGGCUUGGACCCUCUGGGGGAAAAGGGGCUCUGGCUGCCCCCCCUUAAAGCAGAGGGGUCCCAAGGGACGUGUUCCCCCCCCCCCAGCCCUGCAGGUAACAUCUCACCCCUUCCGCCAGCAGCCGAGGGAAGGUGGCCCCAGGACCCCACGCAGAAACCCUGAGGGAGAAGGAAGAGGAGGAAGAGGAGGAGGAGGAGGAGGGGGAGGAAGGAAGACGAAAAUAAUAUUAAUAAUAAUAAUAAUAAAAAAAGGAGAAGGAAGAGCUUGGACCGGAGCCAGGAGUGGGGAAAGGGCAAUCUGGACCCGGCUGCCCUCUCACCGCCGUGCCGGAGGGGACCCUGGGGACACGCGGACCCGGCCCGGAGCCCCCCCCCCCCCCCCCCCCCCACCGAGGAGCCAGCGAGGGCCCAACGCGGGGGUCAGCAUCGCUCCUGGGGGGGCACCCAGCCCCGCAUCGCCCUCCCCGGCCCCGGCGAGCAGGAAAAGCGCCAGCCGCUGGAUUUUCGCUUCCUGGGACAUCCAAGGGACUCUUCCUCCUCCUCCAUGGUCCCCCCGUGCCUCCCCGGGGCCGCUGGCUGAGCCCCCCCGGCCCCCCGCCCGGCCCCGCAUGCUGCGCCCCGAGCGUGGAGCAGCCCCCGGCAGCCCCGGCGCUCCCCGCCGCGGCCCGGAGCCCCCCAAAAACAGCCUCGGUGGCGGGGCGGGGAGGCGAACGGGGACUCCUUCGGGGCGUUAAGAUGGUGAAAGCUCCCCGGCCGAGAGGGGCUGCGCGGACGCCAGGCCACCGGGUUAGGGGGGAGCAGGAUGGACAGAGCCCUCGGGGCCGGGAGCCGAGGCCGCUAGGGAAGGAUGGACUCGCCGAGCUGCCGGGACAGGCAGCCCAGUGACCCCCCCGGCAGCAGCAGCAGCAGCAGCAACUGUAGCAGCGGCAAAAGCGAGGGCGAGAGGGAGAGGAUCCGCAGCCGGAUGAAAAUGGUCAUCGGGCAGCUGGAAGGCAUCUUGCAGGAGCUCAAGGAGGUCGCCAAGGAGCUCCGGGAGGUGGUGAGCCAGAUCGACCGUCUGACGUCCGACUUCGAGUUCGAGCUGGAGCCCGACGACUGGACGACGGCGACGGCCAGCAGCACCUCCAGCAGCGAGAAAGGGGGCGCCGCCUUCGAGCUGGGACCCCUCGACUUCGCCGCCGCCGACAUCCUCUCCGACAGCUGGGAGUUCUGCUCCUUCCUCGACGCCUCCACCCCCUCCGACCAAGGGGACGGGCCCGAGCCCCCCCGGCCGCAGCAGCAGCCGCCGCCGUGCCGCCAGCCCGACUACCGGCUGAUGAACGGCGGCGUCCCCAUCGCCAACGGGCCCCGGGGGGGGACCCCGGACUCCUCCAGCGAGGAGGCGUUCGGUGCCCACCACAGGGGUCCCCAGCAGCGGCCGGCCGGCACGCGGGAGCGGGUCCGCUUCAGCGACAAGGUGCUGUACCACGCGCUGUGCUGCGACGACGACGAUGACGACGACGGGGACGGCGCCGACGAAGGCUCCCCGGGCGAGGAUUGCGGCGAGGAGCCUGGCCGCAAGGCCACCUCGAAGCAUCCCCCUGGGGGUGGCGGCGGGGGGCCGGCGGCGGCCCGGCGGCCGACGAGGAACAGCAGCACGCAGACUGUGGCCGACAAAAGCACCCAGACGGUGCUGCCCUACAUCAGGCAGAAAAGCAAAAGGAAAAACUGACGCCGGCUCCCGAGCGGGUUGGGGGCGGCCGAGGGUUGGGUGGGGUGGGUGGGGAGCCUGGGCAGGGUCAGAAAUAUAUAUAUAUAUAUAUAAAUAUAUAUUUAAAUACAUCGCUACUACGAAUAAAAUCGAGAUGAAAAGGUGGCA
rnacentral:lncRNA from 1 species